GUAACAUUUUCCUGGGAAACAAGAGAAAUAUCAUGGUUACCUUCAUAAUGCUACAGACAUACCUGGUUUGGGUUGUUUUCACUUUGUUUCAGGAAUCUAAUGGACAAAUUGUCAUCACUCAGACACCAGCCUCUCUACAUGUAAACCCUGGGGACACAGUCACCUUUCAGUGCAAAGCAUCCUCGUCCAUGAGUAAUGAUAUGCAGUUAUAUCAAUUUAUACCAGGACAAAAACCCAAGCUGCUGAUCUAUAAUGGUUCCAGCCGUUUCACAGGGACCCCAGAUCGCUUUAGUGGCCGCUACAGUGGCACUGACUUCACCUUCACUAUCAGCGGUGUACGUCCUGAAGAUGAAGGGGAGUAUUACUGUGGCCAAGACAACAGCUUCCCUCUACACAGUGAUACAUUUCAGCACAAAAACCUUCUGAAUGGUUUAAUGCAGGAAGAAGGAUACUGUAUCACUCUAUGGGAUGGACAAAAAUGUAUGGAAGAACCAAGACACUAUGAAGAUUUGGAAAGAGAAUUGCUGAACCAGUCUAGCACCCAGUACAGCUAG